GAGACAGCAGCCGCCGCGGGAAUACAGAGGGUGCGAGCGUUAAUCGGAAUUAUUGGGCGUAAAGGGCUCGUAGGCGGUUUGUUGCGUCGGGAGUGAAAACCCAGGGCUUAACUCUGGGCUUGCUUUCGAUACGGGCAGACUUGAGGCAUUGAGGGGAGAACGGAAUUCCUGGUGUAGCGGUGAAAUGCGCAGAUAUCAGGAGGAACACCGGUGGCGAAGGCGGUUCUCUGGCAAUGUUCUGACGCUGAGGAGCGAAAGUGUGGGGAGCGAACAGGAUUAGAUACCCGCGUAGUCCCUGUCUCUUAUAA
rnacentral:rRNA from 1 species